CCCUUAGAUGUCCUGGGCCGCACGCGCGCUACACUGAGUGUCUGAGAUACGAGUCUGCCUGGUCCGGCAAGGUCUAGGUAAUCGCUAAAAGACACAUCAUGCUUGGGAUAGAUUAUUGCAAAUAUUAAUCUUGAACGAGGAAUUCCUAGUAAGCGCAAGUCAACAGCUUGCGUUGAUUACGUCCCUGCCCUUUGUACACACCGCCCGUCGCUUCUACUGAUUGGAUGUUUAAGCGAGGUUCUCGAACUGCUAGCGACUUAGCUUCGGUGAGGUCGCAGUGUGGGAAGUGAACCUAGCUUUGGUGUCUAGAGGAAGUAAAAGUCGUAACA
rnacentral:rRNA from 1 species